GAGUUUGAUCUUGGCUCAGAUUGAACGCUGGCGGCAGGCCUAACACAUGCAAGUCGAGCGGAUGACGGGAGCUUGCUCCUUGAUUCAGCGGCGGACGGGUGAGUAAUGCCUGGGAAUCUGCCUGGUAGUGGGGGACAACGUUUCGAAAGGAACUCUAAUACCGCAUACGUCCUACGGGAGAAAGCAGGGGACCUUCGGGCCUUGCGCUAUCAGAUGAGCCUAGGUCGGAUUAGCUAGUUGGUGGGGUAAUGGCUCACCAAGGCGACGAUCCGUAACUGGUCUGAGAGGAUGAUCAGUCACACUGGAACUGAGACACGGUCCAGACUCCUACGGGAGGCAGCAGUGGGGAAUAUUGGACAAUGGGCGAAAGCCUGAUCCAGCCAUGCCGCGUGUGUGAAGAAGGUCUUCGGAUUGUAAAGCACUUUAAGUUGGGAGGAAGGGCAGUAAGUUAAUACCUUGCUGUUUUGACGUUACCGACAGAAUAAGCACCGGCUAACUCUGUGCCAGCAG
rnacentral:rRNA from 1 species